GGCUGAGACCAGAGUGGGAAAGUGGCAAUUUGAAACAUUGCUACAGCUGCUGCCCAGAAAUUGCCCAGGCAAUUUCUUCAGAGAAGCAGGAUCUUCAUUAAAAGAUCCAUUUCCCAUGAAAAUACCCCAAUUGGGACUACUUCACUUCAGACCUGAUUAUCAGUCCAAUCUGAUGCACAACUCUAGUAAACACAUGUCUGGAACUCUGGAGAAGGGGAGCAACUGGAGGGUGAAAGCUUGCAGUAGAAGAGCAAUGAGAGGGUUAAGCCUACACACCCUGCUGCUUCAAAUUACUCUCUGCACAGGCUAGCAGUGAGUGACACCUGAACUGAUUAACAAAUUAUCUGAGCACCAGGUGAACUGCACCACAGGAGGGCCUGAAAAAUUAUUUUGGUUGUACUGCAGACUGUCUGUAAAAAGGUAAUUUGGACUUGUUUUUCUUCUCCCUUCCUUCCUUUUCCUGGUAAGCCCUGCAAAAUUAUCUGUUGAAUAAAAUCAAAAGGGGUUAAAAUACCCCCCCCCCAAAUUAAAAAACUCAUUCUUAAUCUGUGUGGAGGGUAAGAACCCCGUUUUUCUAAAAUGUGGGUAUCAUUCCCGGGAAACCUCAGGAUUUGGCAUGUGGUGUCAUCAGACAACACACAGCUCUAUUUCCGGUGGGUUCCAGUGAAGGCAUUGGCAUGCUAAAUCGAUGCAUUAGGACUAUAAGACUAGAUGUGGGUGAACAAACAAGCUUAAUCCCGACAAGAUCAAAGUACUCUCUGUCAGUAGAGGGGUUGAUCUAGGAAUAAGUCAGUAGAAGAACUUAGGACAGUGUUUCAGUCUCUCUAGGAUGGGGUUGCCUUCUUGAAACUCAGGUUUGAGGUUUGAGUGUGCUCCUGGACCCAGCUGUGCUCCUGGAAGCCUAGAUGGUGGACAUGGCCAGAACUGUUCUGGCUAGGGUCACACAGGCCUAAUUGCAUCCCAAUUGGACAACUGCAAUGCACCCAGUCUGGAGCUGCCCUGGAAGAUUCUCCAGAAGCCAUAGUUGUUCCAAAAUAUGGCAGCCACUCUGACUGGGGCUAGUUUUUGGGAGCAUGUGACUCCCCUCCAGUUUGCUGCUGGGUCAAUUCAAGAUACUGGUGGUAAUGCCAUUUAAAGCCUUAAAUGAUUCAAGAGCAGAGUAUCUAAAAGCCCACUUCUACACAUAUGAGCCUGACCAUGCUUUCGGUUAUGCUGGGGAGAUUGUCACAUCCCACUGGUGUGGCUGGGGGGAACCUGGGAGAGGGCUUCUUCAACUGCUGCACCCAGAUUAUGGAAUGCUCUUCCUAGGGCGGUGCAUUCCUCUUCCUCUUGGUAGGCCUUCUGCUAUGCGGCUAAGAAAUUUAUGUUUGAACCAGUUUAUAUUUUGUUAUGAUAGUUCUAGCCUUCUGAUCCUCUGGACUAGUAUUGUAUAUUUUUGUAGUAGUGACGUGGGUUGGAUUUUUACUGCUGCUAUCUCAUCAUUGUAUUAAUUUGAAUUGUUUUUAUUAUAUUGUCUGUGCUGGUCAAUGACCGUAAUAAAGAUUAUUAUUAUUAUUA